AUUGAACGCUGGCGGCAUGCCUUACACAUGCAAGCCGAACGGCAGCGGGGGAGAAGCUUGCUUUUCCUGCCGGCGAGUGGCGAACGGGUGAGUAAUACAUCGGAACGUGCCCUGUAGUGGGGGAUAACUAGUCGAAAGAUUAGCUAAUACCGCAUACGACCUGAGGGUGAAAGUGGGGGACCGCAAGGCCCCAUGCUAUAGGAGCGGCCGAUGUCUGAUUAGCUAGUUGGUGGGGUAAAGGCCUACCAAGGCGACGAUCAGUAGCUGGUCUGAGAGGACGAUCAGCCACACUGGGACUGAGACACGGCCCAGACUCCUACGGGAGGCAGCAGUGGGGAAUUUUGGACAAUGGGCGAAAGCCUGAUCCUGCAAUGCCGCGUGUGUGAAGAAGGCCUUCGGGUUGUAAAGCACUUUUGUCCGGGAAGAAAUGGCUCUGGUUAAUACCUGGGGUCGAUGACGGUACCGGAAGAAUAAGGACCGGCUAACUACGUGCCAGCCGCCGCAGUAA
rnacentral:rRNA from 1 species